CGGGUGAGUAACGCGUAGGAACCUGUCAUCCGGUGGGGGAUAACGCUGGGAAACCGGCGCUAAUACCGCAUGGGAGGGUCUGGCGAGUGCCGGAUUCUGAAAGGAGCAAUCCGCCCGAUGAGGGGCCUGCGUCCGAUUAGCUGGUUGGUGGGGUAAAGGCCUACCAAGGCGACGAUCGGUAGCUGGUCUGAGAGGAUGGUCAGCCACACUGGGACUGAGACACGGCCCAG
rnacentral:rRNA from 1 species